GAUCCUGGCUCAGGACGAACGCUGGCGGCGCGCCUAACACAUGCAAGUCGAACGAGAGAGAGGGAGCUUGCUUCCUCAAUCGAGUGGCGAACGGGUGAGUAACGCGUGAGGAACCUGCCUCAAAGAGGGGGACAACAGUUGGAAACGACUGCUAAUACCGCAUAAGCCCACGGUGCCGCAUGGCACAGAGGGAAAAGGAGCAAUCCGCUUUGAGAUGGCCUCGCGUCCGAUUAG
rnacentral:rRNA from 1 species